GAGUUUGAUUAUGGCUCAGGACGAACGCUGGCGGCGUGCCUAAUACAUGCAAGUCGAACGAACGGAAGUUAGAAUUUGUUCUAAUGGAAGUGAGUGGCGAACGGGUGAGUAACACGUGGGUAACCUACCUUUAAGCGGGGGAUAACAGUGGGAAACGACUGCUAAUACCGCAUAGGACAUAGCGUCACAUGACGCAGUGAGGAAAGACGGUUUCGGCUGUCACUUAGAGAUGGACCCGCGGUGCAUUAGCUAGUUGGUAAGGUAACGGCUUACCAAGGCGAUGAUGCAUAGCCGACCUGAGAGGGUGAUCGGCCACAUUGGGACUGAGACACGGCCCAAACUCCUACGGGAGGCAGCAGUAGGGAAUCUUCCGCAAUGGACGAAAGUCUGACGGAGCAACGCCGCGUGAGUGAAGAAGGUCUUCGGAUCGUAAAGCUCUGUUGUUAGAGAAGAAGAGUUAUGGGAGUAACUGCCCAUAAUG
rnacentral:rRNA from 1 species